rnacentral:rRNA from 1 species
GACGAACGCUGGCGGCGUGCUUAACACAUGCAAGUCGAACGGAAAGGCCCUGCGGUUGGGGGCUGUUCGAGUGGCGAACGGAUCACGAACACAACAUUACCCUGCCCCUGACAUAGGGAUAACUUCAGGAAACUAAUGCUAAUAGCGCACAGGAGCUCCCACUGCAUGGUGUGGGUUGGAUUGUUUCGGCGGUUGGGGAUGGACGCGCGGCUUAUCAGCUUGUUGGUGGGGUAGUGGCUUACCAAGGCUGUGACGGGUAGCCGGCCUGAGAGGGUGACCGGCCACACUGGGACUGAGAUACGGCCCAGACUCCUACGGGAGGCAGCAGUGGGGAAUAUUGCGCAAUGGGCGGAAGCCUGAUGCAGCAACGCCGCGUGCGGGAUGACGGCCUUCGGGUUGUAAACCGCUUUCGGCUGUGACGAAGCGCAAGUGACGGUAACUGGUAAAGAAGCACCGGCUAACUACGUG